AGUGUGCAGUCAGUAAAUGCGUGUAAACUGAAGGAUGCAUGAACGGUGCCCCAUGGAGGUGGAUCAGCGCAGAGGAGAAAAGAUUUCAACUUAAACGUGACUUCCUCCCUGAAAGCUUUCUCUUCCUCAAGUCCACAUCAGGUUUCCCUGAUACAGGCUCCCACACUAGAUGUCCUCCAUCACAGCCCUUUUCUGUGUUGUCAUUGCUUGUCACUUGAAGGUGAGGUGCAGAGAAUCGGGCCCCAGCUCAAAUCCAUGCUCUAUCACUUAUUUGCUGUGUGACACUGGGCAAAUGACCUCCCCUUCUGAACUCUCAUCUCCUGAGCUACGAAAUGGAGACAACACUUGCUGACGACUUGACUUCCAAUGUUUCUGUUUUCUUACACACCAUACAUAUUACACAUUGGCCUUCGGCAGUUCAGUUCUGAAGGCCACCCAUACACUGCUGUGUAUCAGUGGACAGAAGAAUGUGAGCUGAGGCACGGUGAUGUUCCAGCCCACCGGCCGUCAGUACAGC